UUUGCGAGGGCUGUGAAAGGACGCUACUGACUAUUGAACAUAUCAUGCAGUUGUCAGGCUCUCUUCUGGCCCGCAUUCAAUCGGUGAGAGUUCAGAAUGGUUCUCAUCAGUGAGCCAGGUUGGGCUGCCUGCCUCCUCCACUUACUGAAUGCCAUCUAUCUUUAGAGUUGAUGCAAACUCAGCACUCUUUCUCUUGGGACAGACUACACUGGACGUGUUACAUCGCUUCUAAUGAUUGGAAAAUCCGUGUCAGAAACAACGUGAGUGCUUGGAGUACAUCUGUACAUCAGAAAUAUACCGGGCAUCACAUUACUGUCCGCAUCCACUGUAGAUAGUAUAUAUAAUGGGUUCUAUAUUGUUUUUUAUCGUGUCGCGUCUUGCCGCGCCACUCGUGUCCGAGGAAGACACGGAUCCAGCGGGGCAGCGCCGCGGGUUUUUCCCGGGGAUGAACCCGCGAGAGUGGAAGAGCUCCGGAGAACAUCUGCGCUGUGUGUCGAUGCUCCUUAAGAGAUAAUAAGACCAGCAAGCAAGGUGUAUGCAACUGCAAUGAAGCAUCAAGAAAGACAUGAGCAGGCCAGCCACCCUGAGACUGAUAAUACAUGAGAAGACAUGUCAAAGUGGAGGGUGAGCAAAGAUGGUGGCCACCUUUUGGAGCAGCACCUGGGUUUUGCAGAUGGCUAUGUAUUCUUUGGCUGCUUGUCUUUUUUCCCCAUUAUGUUUCUGUUGCCUAAAUAUUCUUUGUGAGGAUGAAUCCAGAGGACACAACAUAAUGCACUGCAAAACGUCCUAAGACAGGAGAAAUGGUGAAGAUGCACUGUUCCAGCAUUGGAAGACUGUAUUUUUAAGUGUUAUAC